rnacentral:rRNA from 1 species
UACGAAGGGGGCUAGCGUUGUUCGGAAUUACUGGGCGUAAAGGGUUUGUAGGCGGUUGAACAAGUCAGAUGUGAAAGCCCGGGGCUUAACCCCGGAAUUGCAUUUGAAACUGUUCAGCUAGAGAGUGUUAGAGGAAAGUGGAAUUCCUAGUGUAGGAGUGAAAUCCGUAGAGAUUAGGAGGAAUAUCGAUGGCGAAGGCAGCUUUCUGGGACAUUUCUGACGCUGAGAAACGAAAGCGUGGGUAGCAAACAGG